GAUGAACGCUGGCGGCGUGCUUAACACAUGCAAGUCGAACGAUGAAGCCCAGCUUGCUGGGUGGAUUAGUGGCGAACGGGUGAGUAACACGUGAGUAACCUGCCCUCAACUCUGGGAUAAGCCUGGGAAACUGGGUCUAAUACCGGAUAGGAGCGCCUACCGCAUGGUGGGUGUUGGAAAGAUUUAUCGGUUUUGGAUGGACUCGCGGCCUAUCAGCUUGUUGGUGAGGUAAUGGCUCACCAAGGCGACGACGGGUAGCCGGCCUGAGAGGGUGACCGGCCACACUGGGACUGAGACACGGCCCAGACUCCUACGGGAGGCAGCAGUGGGGAAUAUUGCACAAUGGGCGGAAGCCUGAUGCAGCGACGCCGCGUGAGGGAUGACGGCCUUCGGGUUGUAAACCUCUUUCAGUAGGGAAGAAGCGAAAGUGACGGUACCUGCAGAAGAAGCACCGGCUAACUACGUG
rnacentral:rRNA from 1 species